UCUCGAUGCAUGAAGGAUUCUCUCCUAGCGCAUGACUUUGUGCGCCACAUUUUUUAGGGCAUCUCUUCCUAUCCAUGUAAUUCCAUGCAUAUUCCUUCUUAAGCAUGGUGUUUUGGUCAGCCAUCAGAUGACCUUGUGAAUGGAUAGAGAUGGGAACAAAUCUGAUUUAAUCCAAACCCUAGCCACCCCUUAUCUUUGGCGC
rnacentral:lncRNA from 1 species